rnacentral:rRNA from 1 species
UGGGGGAUAUUGCACAAUGGGGGAAACCCUGAUGCAGCGACGCCGCGUGAGGGAAGACGGUUUUCGGAUUGUAAACCUCUGUCUUUGGGGACGAAAGAGGACGGUACCCAAGGAGGAAGCUCCGGCUAACUACGUGCCAGCAGCCGCGGUAAUACGUAGGGAGCAAGCGUUGUCCGGAAUUACUGGGUGUAAAGGGAGCGUAGGCGGGAUAGUAAGUUGAUUGUUAAAACUAUCGGCUCAACUGGUAGAUGCGAUCAAAACUGCAAUUCUUGAGUGAAGUAGAGGCAGGCGGAAUUCCUAGUGUAGCGGUGAAAUGCGUAGAUAUUAGGAGGAACACCAGUGGCGAAGGCGGCCUGCUGGGCUUUAACUGACGCUGAGGCUCGAAAGUGUGGGUAGCAAACAGG